UUAUAUAAUUAGUUAUAUAUUUCUCACACAAUAAUUUACUAGUGUUUUCAACAGAAGUAUUCUGGAAAAAUAAAGCCAUCUCACAAGUUUUGAUAUAUUGCUCUGGGCGGAUAAAGCUAUCCAACACCUUUUGAUUACAAUUUCGGAUCGGAUAAGAAGACUAUUUCAAGUUAAGAAUUUUGGGCAAAUAUGCUGUUCUCAAUGAGAUAUUAGAUCCAUAUUUUGAAGUUGGUUACAAGUUUUCUCCAAGCAAAUUGUUAAGCUUCAUUGAUUUAUAAUAUUUUUUUCUCAAAAAUCAACUGAAUAAUGCAGCUAUAUGCAGCAACAAGUCUCUAUAUAAUUACUAAAAGCCCUAAUACGGUAAUUCACGAUGAAUACGCUUUGAAGAAAAGAUUCAUAAAAAAAAUAUUUUCGCAAAAAUACCGAGAUUCGCAAAGACGCUCGCAAUCAUAAAAAAAAGUGAAACUAUUUAUCCCAUAAUAACUAAGAACAUUCAUUUAAAAAAAGAAAAAAAUUGUUCCCCAAUAAAACGAAGUGUCCGAAAAAGAAAAAGAGAAUGAAAAACCCAUAUGCCCUAAAACACGAUUCCGCUUGAAAAACAGGUUUAUAAAAAAAAUAUUUGUAAGUACAUGAAAUAAUAUUUAUAUUAAAUGUUUAUUGGACGGGCCUGUAAAAUUUUAAAAUCUUAUCGUCCCAAAAAUAACGAGAUUUGCAAAACGCUCGUAAUCGUAAAAAAAAGAAAAAGAACUCAAUUAAUCCAUUAUAACUAAGAACCUUCUUUCAUAUAAAAGAAAAUUUGAAAAACAAGCGAAAAAGCUGCAUGUACUAAAAAAACCUAAUAACAUCUUUCAUAAAAAAAAAAAAUUAAAAAAAAAGGUUGCCCGAAGAGAAAAGUCUCCAUGUACUAAAAAACCGAAUAACACCUAAAAACACGCUCGAAAUCAUAAAAAAAAGUGAAACUAUUUAUCCCAUAAUAACUAAGAACAUUCAUUUAAAAAAAGAAAAAAAUUGUUCCCCAAUAAAACGAAGUGUCCGAAAAAAAAAGAAAAUGAAAAACCCAUAUGCCCUAAAACACGAUUCCGCUUGAAAAACAGGUUUAUAAAAAAAAAAUUUGUAAGUACAUGAAAUAAUAUUUAUAUUAAAUGUUUAUUGGACGAGCCUGUAAAAUUUUAAAAUCUUAUCGUCCCAAAAAUACCGAGAUUUGCAAAAGCGCUCGUAAUCGUAAAAAAAAGAAAAAGAACUCAAUUAAUCCAUUAUAACUAAGAACCUUCUUUCAUAUAAAAGAAAAUUUGAAAAACAGGUUGCCCGAAGAGAAAAGUCUCCAUGUACUAAAAAACCUAAUAACAUCUUUCAUAAAAAAAAAAUUUAAAAAAAGGUUGCCCAAAGAGAAAAGUCUCCAUGUACUAAAAAACCUAAUAACACCUAAAAAGACGCUCGAAAUCAUAAAAAAAUACGAAACCAUUUAUUUUAUAAUAACUAAGAACAUUCAUUUCAAAAAAAGAAAUAAAAUUGUUUCCCAAUAAAACGAAGUGUCCGAAAAAGAAGAAAAACUCAUACGCCCUAAAUACAUGAAAUAUAUGAAAUAAUAUUUAUAUUAAAUGUUUAUUGGACGGGCCUGUAAAAUUUUAAAAUCUUAUAGUCCCAAAAAUGACGCGAUUUGCAAAAACGCUCAUACUCAUAAAAAAAGGAAAAAGAACUCAUUUAAUCCAUUAUAACUAAGAACCUUCUUUCAUAUAAAAGAAAAUUUGAAAAACAGGUUGCCCGAAGAGAAAAGUCUCCAUGUACUAAAAAACCUAAUAACAUCUUUCAUAAAAAAAUUUAAAAAAGAGGUUGCCCGAAGAGAAAAGUCUCCAUGUACUAAAAAACCUAAUAACACCUUAAAAGACUCUCGUAUUCAUAAACAAAAAAGAAAACGCAACUACAAACAUUCUUUCAUAAAAAAAAAUUGAAAAAAAAGGUUGCCUAAAGAGAAAAGGCUGCCUAUACUAAAAAAAUCUAAAGAGAAAAAAAAACCAUUUAUCUCAUAACUACGAACAUUCAUUUAAAAAAGGAAAAAAAAUUGUCCCCCAUUAAAACGGGGUGUCCAAAAGAGCAAAACAAAACUUCCCCGAAGAGAAAAAGUUGCCUUUCCUAAAAAAAACUUAUGUGCCUAAGAAGAGAAAAUACUGCAAAACUGAAUCGCUUUCAAAUAAAGUGGAUCUAAUAUGGAACUAUUUGCGUUAUUUUGGACGUAACAACUGUAGUUGAUAUACAUACCACUAUUAACAUCUACCUAGAUCGAAAACACUAUUAAACAAAACAAAGGGAAAGCACCCGGUGCUGAUUUUAUUACCACUAAAAGACUUGAAGGUCCGAAACAAGCUAUUAGUUUUAGCGAAAUUUAUUGAAUUCCAUAACAAGACUUCAGCACUUAACAAUUGUAUGGAAACUCGCGAUCCCGAAGCCAAGUUGGUCCAAAAGUGGACAGUCCUCAAAUCUUAACACAUAUACUUUACCUAGCAACUUCCUACGAUUUUGGCAAAAAACUAGUUGCACAAGGUUGAGUCAUCAGACAUGUCAUCACAAUCCCAGCUGUCUACUGUAAUAAGACUAGUUCGCAAAAUAGGCCAAGAGCAGAAACGUUUUUGGAAUUUUAGAGAUAGAUCAGCUGCCGCGAUCUCAACUCAUGUACAUAACCUAGCAACUUUCUACGAUUUUGGCAAAAAACUAGUUGCACAAGAAUGAGUCCUCAAAUAUAUCAUCACAAUCCCAGCUGUCUAUUGUAAUAAGACUAAUUCACAAAAUAGGCCAAGUGCAGAAACGUUUUGUGAAUUUUAGCGAUGUCAGCAGGGAUAGAUCAGCUGCCACGAUCUCAACUCAUGUAAUUAACUUAGCAACUUCCUACAAUUUUGGCAAAAAUCUAGUGGCACAAGGGUAUGAUGGCGCAGCAGUUAUGUCAGGAUGUUUAAAUGGAACACAAGCCAAAGUUAAAGAGACUUACCCAAAUGCCGUUUUUAUUCACUGUUCCGCCCAUAGCUUGAACUUGGUCGAAAUCUGUAGAGUUCAUAGGAGCGUGUAAACUAUUUUUUUGUAUCAUGGUCAGUAUUUUAUACUACUUUUCACUUUCCACAAAAAGAACACAAGCUUUUUUUGAACAUGUGAAAUGAAAAUUUCCUCAUAUUGCAGCGACAUUGGUCUUCAAACUCCAGAACAGUAAAUUUUUUUUUAUAGCUUUUUUGAGAGAAUUUCGGCGGAACCAAAUCAAUGGGAUAAAAAAAGUAUUCUGUGUGUUAGUUGUUCAUUUUUUUAGAAAAAUGCGACACCCAUUUUUUAUUAUUACUGUUUGCAAAAAAUUUAGCUUUUACAGAUAUCCUUUUUAAGAAGAUUUUAAAAGUAUUUAUGACGAGACGGUGGCCGUUAUAAAACCUCCAAAUAAAACUCGUCGUUUAGAUGGUACAAGUCUUCACAGUCAUUUUGAAUUUCUGUUUCAUCAAUAGAUACAAUUAUAUAGAUACAAUUAUAUCCCAAUUGGAAGUACCAUUUAGAAGUUUUAAUAAACUUCUUUUUGUGGAUUUAUUAAAAGUUCAAAAAAAAUAUGUAAAAGUUUUUCCUACUACUCAAUUCAGUUAUUUAAAAGACCGAUGCGGCACAUUUUUUGAUCUAACUAUACUCAAAAUUGAGUUAAUAACAAUAGUACAUUCAAGUAUCUUCAGGUGUACAAGAUACUUGAACAUAUUUUGAAUAAUGAUUUCAAAGGAGCAUUCUCGGAUUCUAAUAAUGCCAGUUAGUACUCCUAGUGUAGAGUGUAGUUUUUCCGCAAUGAAAAGAAUAAAAUCAUAUUUGAGAAAUUCGUUGGGACAAUAAAGGCUUUUCAGUUUAGCACUUAUUUCAAUAGAAAAGGGUUUGCUGAAAAAACUAAUACUAAAAGAAUAUUUUUAUAAUAAUGUUAUUGAAAAUUUUUAGACGACUGAAGUUCACAUAUAAGUAAUUGAGAUCGACAGUGAAAAUGGAUGUUAAUAGGCCUCUAGGGGAACCACAUCCUUAAAAAAGGU